CCUGCAGGAGGAGACACUCAACAUCAAACACGACGCAGGUGAAGUGGAACCUCAACCGAACUGGAGGAAGGGAGACGCUGAGCUGACGCAAGAUGAACGGCCAGUUAACUGAACACACCCACACUAUGGAACAUGCACGGAACCCGUGUUUUAACAGGUUUUAGGAAGAUGCCUGAACACGAACAAACUGCAGCACAACAGAAGUGGCUGCUGUGAGCUGACUAACCGGAAACAACAAGCAGCACCACUGAUGAGCGACACAGUAAAAUGAUAAAACACAGUGUGUUUUCACACUUUACGUUCAUCUAAAGCAGAGACUGAAGGAGCGCUAUAUUAGAAACAAUGCUGAGUUCACAGAAACCUGU